rnacentral:rRNA from 1 species
AGUGGCGGACGGGUGAGUAACGCGUGGGUAACCUGCCCCAUAGAGGGGGACAACAGCUGGAAACGGCUGCUAAUACCGCAUGGGAAAGCGGGACCGCAUGGUCCUGUUUUGAAAGAUUUAUCGCUAUGGGAUGGACCCGCGUCUGAUUAGCUGGUUGGUAAGGUAACGGCUUACCAAGGCGACGAUCAGUAGCCGGCUUGAGAGAGUGAACGGCCACAUUGGGACUGANACACGGCCCAGACUCCUACGGGAGGCAGCAGUGGGGAAUAUUGCACAAUGGGGGGAACCCUGAUGCAGCGACGCCGCGUGAGUGAAGAAGUAUUUCGGUAUGUAAAGCUCUAUCAGCAGGGAAGAUAAUGACGGUACCUGACUAAGAAGCCCCGGCUAACUACGUGCCAGCAGCCGCGGUAAUACGUAGGGGGCAAGCGUUAUCCGGAUUUACUGGGUGUAAAGGGUGCGUAGGUGGCAGGGCAAGUCAGAUGUGAAAGCCCGGGGCCCAACCCCGGUACUGCAUUUGAAACUGUCCGGCUGGAGUGCAGGAGAGGUAAGCGGAAUUCCUAGUGUAGCGGUGAAAUGCGUAGAUAUUAGGAGGAACACCAGUGGCGAAGGCGGCUUACUGGACUGUAACUGACACUGAGGCNCGAAAGCGGGGGAGCAAACAGGAUAGAUCCCUGGUA